GGAUAUAGUUUAAAGGUAGAACUACGGUCUCCAAAACCGUCAGUGUGGGUUCAAUUCCUACUAUCCC
rnacentral:tRNA from 5 species